rnacentral:rRNA from 1 species
UACGUAGGGUGCAAGCGUUAAUCGGAAUUACUGGGCGUAAAGCGUGCGCAGGCGGUGAUGUAAGACAGUUGUGAAAUCCCCGGGCUCAACCUGGGAACUGCAUCUGUGACUGCAUCGCUGGAGUGCGGCAGAGGGGGAUGGAAUUCCGCGUGUAGCAGUGAAAUGCGUAGAUAUGCGGAGGAACACCGAUGGCGAAGGCAAUCCCCUGGGCCUGCACUGACGCUCAUGCACGAAGCGUGGGGAGCAACAGGA